AAUCGCGGGGGAGAUGACACUGAACUAGUAUCUGACUCUACCAGGCAGCUUUCUGGAUGUGAAGUUGAGCAUUCUGUUGACAGGGAUCUCCUAAGGUUGCUUGGAGAGGCAGAAGGUUGUGCAUUUAUUUAGUUAUUUAUUUUUGUGUCCAACCAAUUGAUUCUCAGAGUAUCCAUCCCAUUGAAAUUAAUGGACUUAAGUACGGUAGGUCCAUUAAUUUCUAUGGGAUGUAUUCAGCAUAACUAAGAUCGCUCACUCCAGUAGCAUUUCUGUUUGCCUGAUGGGAUGAUCUCUCCUCCCUACCACCACCCCAGCCAGUUUUUGGGGUGGGGGCAGGAAGAAAAGUCCCAUUGCACUCUCUGAUGGGAAUGAACUUCCCAGGGGGCAGCUGGGGGGGCCAGAGCUCAAGAGGGUGAUGGAUUAGAUCUAGAACCUUAAGUCACUAGGUGGACUGUGGGUUGCCUCCUACAAAACAGCUGAUUCUUCUCCAGAAGGGGCAUUUUCAUUGGUCCAGCACAAACUGAGUGAUCCCAUCUCUGGAGCAAAGGCACCAACAAAGCCCAAGUAAAUGAACCAGGAAUGGAACCACUGACCAUUUUAUUUUAAUGGGAAUUAGUUGAAAUGACUGGUUUACGUAUUUGUUUUCUCCAAAGAAGGACUUCAAAUUCCCCAAACUUGACCAGCUCUCAUGCCUGGAAGAAGUUGCAAUUGUCUGUGGCCUGGACGAUGGAGAGAAAUUUUCAGCAGGUGGUGAAGGGAAGACCAGAAAUGAGGGGAAACCGGAUAGCAUCUCAUCAGAAAGAGGCAAGCCCGAGGAAAUAAAGGGAGUUUUUGCUUCCAAGACGGAACAAUGAAGCAAAGGGCAAACUAGAUCAGAAAGAGGAUACCACAGGUGGGGAUAGUGAAUGUUGUGCACCUGUUGUGCUCAGGUGCUGCUUGCAGGUUUCCCACUGAGGAAUCUCAUUGCGAGAACAGGAUGCUGGACUAGAUGGGGCCCCCGGUCAGAUCCAGCAGGGCUUCCAUUUUUUUAUAUUGAUUUGGGUUUAGAUGAAUUUAGGGAUGAACUUUUUUGUUUAUCAGUAGUUAAGGCUGUGUUUCCAAGCCUUUUUUACUUGUAAACUAGGAGCGUCUGAUGCUGUUUUAAAGAUAAGGAUCCUAUUACCUAGUAACAUCUGUAUAUAACUAUGUAAUUAUCACUGUAUUUACUCUUACUGAUUAGGUUGUUUUUUCCUCUUCUAUAUUCCCAGCUAUAAACUAGAAUAAACACACUUUCAUUCUAAA